rnacentral:lncRNA from 1 species
CCCGGUUCCACGCGCCCAGGGCCGCCCCCGCGGAGAGAGGGGGCGCGAGGGGCGCGCCUCUCGCUCGGACACCCUCUCCCAGCUCGCGCCCCAGAGGUAACUUAAACCCAAUUAUAAAUGGCUUUGGCUAUAAAGUGUUCUUGAAUGAAAACGUUUAGGAAGUAGGCCUGGAUUCAGAUGCUUCAGAGGCUCAAAGGAAACAGGAAUCGUGGCUAACCAAAUCCAGCCCAACUGCUUCCUUGUUCACAUGGGGAAAUCGAGGAAGGCCCGGGGAGAGGAAGGCCUGGGGAGAGGAAGUUACUUGCCCAAGUUGCCCAGUUAAUUAGCCACAGAACCCAUGUCCCCCAACUCUGAAACAAGUUCCAGUUAAAGUCUUCACUGAUAACUUUAAAUCCUCCACUAACCAAGGGAGUCAUCUUUGCAUUUGCACAGAGGAGAUGGGAAAAUCACAAAGCCCUUAAGGUCCAGAAGAAAUGAGUGUCACUACGUUGGGCUCCCAGGCUGUGCAACAAGCUGUGGACGGAGAUGUCCGGGCAGGGAGCCCGGUCCAGCUCCCCACCCAUCGCAUCAUGGAGUCAGCCGUCUCCUCUGGGGACUGCACCCUCUGGGUGCUGAGAAAUCCAAAUGGCUCUUUCUCAUGCAGCCGCCCCAAGUGGGCAGGAUGGCCCUUCUCUUGAUUUGUUUCCUGCUUACUUUGUGAGAGUCAAAGUGCAUCCUUCAGGACCAAAGUGGCCAAGGGGCCAGCAUGUUAUUUAGAGUGAUCAAAAUGGACCAUUUUCAACUUGGCCCUAUUUCAGCUCCAGAGCUGUGGUUUCCACUUGCUUUUACUUAUCUGUAUUUUCUAACAUUUCUUUAGCAAAUUUGUAUUACUUUGGCAAUUAGAAAAAAUGACCAGUAAUUUUUAUAAAAGGAUUUGUGUUUGAUUUCCUUUCAGAAAGGCACUUUCAUUUAUUAAAAGAUCACAAUGAGAAGUGAAAUUAAGUUGAUCUUUCUCUCUGGCAAGGAUGUGUGGGGAGGAAUGGGGAGGUGAAUGCUGGGAGCAGAAGCCACAGCUGCAGAGCACUGCAGUGAGUGAAGGCUAGAUCAGGAGACUGGACCAGGAGGCUGGACCAAUUGGCUCUGUGGUCCUAGGCAAGUCACUCAGUGUCUCUGGGUUUCUAUUGCUAGAUGUUUGGUUUCAUUAUUUCUGGAGUUCUUUCCAGGAAUUCUCUGUAUGGAUACAGUCUUUGAGCUUUAGUGAACGUUCAUAUACGCUGUAGGAGAACAUGUAAUGGCUCAGAAAUGUGUUCAGCAUAAAUUCUGUUUGUCUUUGCGGUCCUGUGAGACUGCUGAAAGUUCUGCUCAGCUUCUCUGCUUCUUAGCAUUUGGUUUCUUCUCAGCUUCUCAGUCUCUCCGUUUAGCUCUUUAUGAAUUGGCAAAUUCAUGGAAAAGAGCACAUAGAAUGUCAGGCCCCUGCUCCAUUCAUUUCUCUUCACCCUGAGAUCUUGAUCCCUCAAGUUCUGGCUUCCUGGAUAGCUCUUUCGUGCCUUCUAACAGAUUUUUAUUUUCUUUGAACAAUUCUACCCAGGUUUUCUAAUUGUUUAUGGAGAAGAUUGAUCUUCACAAGCUAGUUUUUUCAUAGGCAAAAGCAAAAGUCUCUUCCUGUGUUAUUAAGUGAAAAUGGCUGAUUAUAAAAAGGCCCUGGGUCAGGAGGUUGCCGAUUCCAGGAAGAAUCAGACCUUAUCCCUGCCCUUGAGUCUCAAGAAGAGGAAAGGAAAACAAAUAAGCAUAGUACAGUGUGAAAAGUGGGACUGUGGUCAAAUUUCAGUCUGCAAACUCAGAUCAUGAAAGAUAGUGUGGCUUCCACUUUGGUCUCUUAUAUCACCUACUGGGGGAAGCCAGCUGCCAUGUUGUGAGGACACUCAAGAAGCUCUGUGGAGAGGCUCUUUUGAAGGAGAACCAAUGCCUCCCACCAACAGCCAGCAUCAACUUGGGACAUGUGAGUGAACCAAUUGGAAGUGGAUCCUCCAGCCAAGUCAAGCCUUCAGAUGACUGAAGCCCCAGCCUCAUGAGAGAUAGCAGGCUAAAACUGCCCAGCUAAGCUGCUCCUGAAAUCCUGACCCCCCAAAUUAUAAAAGACAAUAAAUUAUUAUUGUUGUUUUAAGCCACUACAUGUUGGGGUGAUUCAUUAUGCAGCAACAGAUAAUAAAUACAUCACCCUUGUAUUCAUUACUGACGUUUAUUGGGAGCAUAGUGUGUGAUUUUUCAUUUAACCCUUCCAGUAAUGCUGUGAGAUAGGUAAGUUUAUUAUCCCCAUUUUACAGACAAAGAAACUGAGGUUCAGAAUGAGUGAAGUCUCUUCCCUGCAGAGUCCCUGACCUUAAGGAUUUUAUGGUCAGAUCUGAGAGACAGAAGCUCAAAAACCUAUGACUCUAGGCAAAAUAUGGCCCUGGGAUCCCAGGAUGGGGAGAGGAAUUUUGGAUUCUGGCUUCUACUUGGGCCUCAUAGCUUGGGAUGACAGAGGGUACACUCCAAAGGCAACAAACACCUUCCCUGCCCUUGAGCACCUGCUUAAUCAAGGGGAGAAAGUUCAGAUGCUUAUGCAUAAUGUGUGGUAUUUCUCUGCACAGAAACACACACGGGCCUGUACAGUAAUAAUGAAAAGCAACAACCCAUCUUAAGGGCUUGGCACUUUGCACUUACAAAGCCUUAUACAUCCCUAAUUCCAUGGAAUCACACCUGGCAGGUAAGCGUGGCCCUGUACACUUUACAGAUGGGGACACUGAGGUCAGGGAAGUUGUGUGAUUCUUGCAGAGCCAAGCAGCCUAGAAGUGGCAGAGUUCAGGUAAAACCCAGUAACUGGGUGUUUUACAAGUGCUAAGGGUAUGACAGGAGGUAGGCAGGGCUCCUCUGAGGGAGGUUUCAGGAAGAGGUCACCCGCGAGCAGGGUUCUGAGAAUGGGGAAGUGGCUUCGGGGAGAGGAUGGUGCCUGGGAGGGUUUGAGAGGAAACAGAGUGAGUCCCUAGGGGCUCCCAGGGUGUACGAGGGCAAAGAGGUGAACAUAGCUGGAGUGGAAAGAAUGAGAAAGCCUGGGUGUGUGGAAGAGCCUUGGUGUGUUAGGUGGAAUUGCAGCUGGAGGGUGUGUGCAGAAUGAGAGGUCUUGGUAUUGGGGCCAAAGUCAACUGCCACGCCUAAGGAGGGAGGAAGGCGCUUAUUUUGCUUCUUGGGUGAAAAUCAUUCCUGUGAUUUAGUUCUCCUUGGGGGAGGGGCGGGGUUUCAUCCAGCCUUAGCAAAUGCAUUCAAUCUUCACUACUUCUCUCUGUCAGAUGGGGUGGAUAGAGGUCCAAAUGUGGGCAGAAGCUUUUAUGUCCCAUCGCAGGGCAGCUAAGAACAGCUGCGCGGGUCGUUCACUGUACAUGGGCACUAGGCCAAAAGGGACUGAAAUCCGGACGGCCCUUUGUUUACUAAGCCAUGUGCCUGCAAGGCUGCACCUGCCCAGAAGGAAUGCUUCCUAUUUCUUUUCUUUAAAAAAAAAUUUUUUUUAUGAGCUAAAAUUCACAUAACAUAGAAUCUACCAUUUAAACCACUUUAAAGUAUAAAGUUCAGUGCUUUUAGUAUAGUCACAAUGUUGUGCAACCAUCACCACUAGCAGUUUUCGGAACAUUUCCAUCAUCCCAAAAAACAACUCCAUAACUCCUAAUUCCCCCCCUUUCCCCAUCUCUUGGCGACCAUGAAUCUGAACUUUCAUAUGAAUGGAGUUCUAUAAUUUGCUGUCUUCUGUGACUGUCUUCUUUCAUUUGGCAUUAAAACUUUUCAAGUUUUACCCAUGUUGUGGUAUGUGUCUGUACUUCAUUCCUUUUUAUGGCUCGAUAAUAUCGCAUUGUGUGAAUAUUCCACAAUUUGUGUAUCCCUUCAUGAGUUGAUGGACAUAUGGGUUAUAUCCACUGGCUGUUAAGAACAGGCGGGUCACGGUGGCUCACGCCUGAAAUCCCAGCACUUUGGGAGGCUGAGGUGGGCGGAUCACCUGAGGUCAGGAGUUCUAGAUCAGCUUUGCCAACACGGUGAAACCUUGUCUCUACCAAAUAUAUAAAAAUU